GAUGAACGCUGGCUACAGGCUUAACACAUGCAAGUCGCGGGGCAGCAUCGGGGUUGCUUGCACUCCCCGAUGGCGACCGGCGUACGGGUGAGUAACGCGUAUUCCACCUGCCCUUCACCACGGGAUAACCCGGCGAAAGUCGGACUAAUACCGUAUGUUGUCCAUUUACUGCAUCCGAUUUGGACGCAUCGCUUGGCGGUGAGGGAUCGGGCUGCGUGCGAUUAGCCAGACGGCGGGGUAACGGCCCACCGUGGCUACGAUCGGUAGGGGUUCUGAGAGGAAGGUCCCCCACACUGGAACUGAGACACGGGCCAGACUCCUACGGGAGGCAGCAGUGAGGAAUAUUGGUCGAUGGGCGUAAGCCUGAACCAGCCAAGUAGCGUGCAGGAUGACGGCCCUAUGGGUUGUAAACUGCUUCUAUGCGGGGAUAAAGUGGCCCACGUGUGGGCUUUUGCAGGUACCGCAUGAAUAAGGACCGGCUAAUUCCGUG
rnacentral:rRNA from 1 species